rnacentral:rRNA from 1 species
AACGAACGCUGGCGGCAUGCCUAACACAUGCAAGUCGAACGAGACCUUCGGGUCUAGUGGCGCACGGGUGCGUAACGCGUGGGAACCUGCCCUUAGGUUCGGAAUAACUCCCCGAAAGGGGUGCUAAUACCGGAUAAUGUCUUCGGACCAAAGAUUUAUCGCCUUUGGUUGGGCCCGCGUUGGAUUAGCUAGUUGGUAGGGUAAAAGCCUACCAAGGCGACGAUCCAUAGCUGGUCUGAGAGGAUGAUCAGCCACACUGGGACUGAGACACGGCCCAGACUCCUACGGGAGGCAGCAGUGGGGAAUAUUGGGCAAUGGGCGAAAGCCUGAUCCAGCAAUGCCGCGUGAGUGAUGAAGGCCUUAGGGUUGUAAAGCUCUUUUACCCGGGAUGAUAAUGACAGUACCGGGAGAAUAAGCUCCGGCUAACUCCGUG